rnacentral:rRNA from 1 species
UAGUCCACGCCGUAAACGAUGGAUACUAGCUGUCCGGGACCUUGAGUUCUGGGCGGCCAAGCGAAAGUGAUAAGUAUCCCACCUGGGGAGUACGUUCGCAAGAAUGAAACUCAAAGGAAUUGACGGGGGCCCGCACAAGCGGUGGAGCAUGUGGUUUAAUUCGAUGAUACGCGAGGAACCUUACCAGGGCUUAAAUGCAUAUUGACAGACUUAGAGAUAGGUUUUCCUUCGGGCAAUUUGCAAGGUGCUGCAUGGUUGUCGUCAGCUCGUGCCGUGAGGUGUCAGGUUAAGUCCUAUAACGAGCGCAACCCCUGCCGUUAGUUGCCAGCAUUUAAAGAUGGGGACUCUAGCGGGACUGCCGGUGCAAACCGUGAGGAAGGUGGGGAUGACGUCAAAUCAUCACGGGCCCUUAGUCCUGGGGCUACACACGUGCUACAAUGGGUCGGUACAGAGGGGCAGGCCACAUCGCGAGAUGGGAGCGGAAUCCUUAAAACC